AAUUCUUCUGCUAAUGAAAUCUCGAUUAUGUAGCGAUUAUUGGCCAUAUUAAUGUCGAUGUACUCGUAACUUCCUGAUGUACGAUUUCCAGAUUUUUCCCACUUUGAUUUGCAGAGACCUGUAAGAUUGAAUUACAAGAAAACAAUUACUAUAAGAUAAAAGAUUUAAUUUAUAUACACCGACUAUAUAAUUUUUACGGUAUUUAUUUUACUAUGUUAUAAUAGAUAAUCUCUAUUUUUCAUGUCACCAUGUCCACUUAUUACAACAACAACAACAACAAUCCAGUAAAAUCUCACAGGUGAUGGAUCGGGGAGGGGGGGGUAUUAGUGUGUACGCAGACCUUACCCCUACUCCGAUGGAAUAGAUGUUGUUUCCGAUAAAUCUUCGGCUCAAGAAAAUGAACGAGACAAAGAGAGACAAUAUAUCAGUACCAUCAACAGAAACCAUAGCAAAUCGACUUAUUAUAAAUAUAAAUAAUUAUACAUGCAAUUAUCUUUUCUAUUGUAUUUUAACUUGUUUUAGUAUGUAUUUGCCUUAUUUUCAGGUCAUUAAUAUUAUGCAAAAUAAU
rnacentral:lncRNA from 1 species